rnacentral:rRNA from 1 species
CCUACGGGAGGCAGCAGUGAGGAAUAUUGGUCAAUGGGCGAAAGCCUGAACCAGCCAAGUCGCGUGAGGGAUGAAGGCUCUAUGGAUCGUAAACCUCUUUUAUAGGGGAGUAAAAUGCGGGAAGUGUCCCGUUUUGUAUGUACCUUAUAAAUAAGAGUCGGCUAACUCCGUGCCAGCAGCCGCGGUAAUACGGAGGUUCCGCGCGUUAUCCGGAUUUAUUGGGUUUAAAGGGUGCGUAGGCGGAUUGGUAAGUUAGAGGUGAAAGGUUAGGGCUUAACUCGGGAACUGCCUUUAAUACUGUUGGUCUAGAGUGUAGAUGAGGUAGGCGGAAUGCGUGGUGUAGCGGUGAAAUGCUUAGAGAUCAUGCAGAACACCGAUUGCGAAGGCAGCUUACUAAUCUAUAACUGACGUUGAGGCACGAAAGCGUGGGGAGCAAACAGGAUUAGAUACCCUAGUAGUC